CAGUCUCCCUUGGAAAUGCCUCUAAGAUCUUUUCCCUGAAGAAAUAAGAUUCUGUUUUGAUUCAAAAAUUUCUUUGUGUCAUCAGUUUCUUCCUUAGUGCCAUACAACAAGGCACUGCCAAUUUGCACUUUAUUUACUCUAUUUUGUUGCCUAUGGUCCUGGAACAACUGUGUUAGCAUCACCACAACUGUACACAUUUCCCUUUGUGCAAGGUUUCUUUUUCUGUUAGUUUUCUAACUACUCAGAGUGCCUGUUAUGGUUUGGAUGGGAGGUGUCCCCCAAAAGGUCACGUGUGAGAUGGUGCAAGAAGGUUCAGAGGAGACAUGACUGGGUUGUGAGAGCCUUAACCCAAUCAGUGAAUGAAUCCCUGAUGGAUUAACUGGGUGGUGGCUGGAGGCAGGUGGGUGUGGCUGGAGGAGGUGGCACUGGGGACGUGGCUUUGGGGUCUCUAUUUGUCUCUGGAGAGUGGAGUCUCUUUCUGCUUCCUGAUCACCAUGUGAGCUGCUUCCCUCCACCACACUCUUUCUCCAUGAUGUUCAGCCUCACCUC
rnacentral:lncRNA from 1 species